GUACUCGCUUCAGCAGCACAUAUACUAAAAUUGGAAUAAUAUAGAGAAGAUUAGCAUGGCCCCUGCACAAGGAUGAUGCUCAAAUUCUUGAAGCGCCUCCUAUUUUU
ensembl:snRNA U6 U6 spliceosomal RNA